rnacentral:rRNA from 1 species
AUUGAACGCUGGCGGCAUGCCUUACACAUGCAAGUCGAACGGCAGCACGGGGGCAACCCUGGUGGCGAGUGGCGAACGGGUGAGUAAUGCAUCGGAACGUGCCCCGUAGCGGGGGAUAACCAGUCGAAAGACUGGCUAAUACCGCAUACGCUCCACGGAGGAAAGCAGGGGAUCGCAAGACCUUGCACUAUGGGAGCGGCCGAUGCCCAAUUAGCUAGUUGGUGAGGUAAAGGCUCACCAAGGCGACGAUCGGUAGCUGGUUUGAGAGAACGACCAGCCACACUGGGACUGAGACACGGCCCAGACUCCUACGGGAGGCAGCAGUGGGGAAUUUUGGACAAUGGGCGCAAGCCUGAUCCAGCCAUGCCGCGUGCGGGAUGAAGGCCUGGUGUAACG